rnacentral:lncRNA from 1 species
GUGCAAACACUUAUUUUAUGUAUGCUCCUCAGGAAGGAGUUGGAACAACUUGCCUUCUCACUCGUCAAUUGCUGAAACUGAUAUGAGACUAUGGGCAAAGGCAAAUAGCUAAGAAAUGUUAUCGUGGUUUCUUUCUUCUAAAACUUGUCCUAAUUCCCGGCUACCCGUUAAUCUUCUGAUUCUUAUUUCACUUUUCUUUGAAGUGGCUAUUUUAUGUAUUGGAGCUUUAACUCACGAUGAAUACAUGUUAAUCUCUUUGUUUACAAGAGCUCAUCAGGUCCUGAAAUGCUUGAGUCCUGUGGCCUCUUUCACUACACAGCUGUACCAAGUUAAGUCUUUU